rnacentral:rRNA from 1 species
AGUGAACGCUGGCGGUAGGCCUAACACAUGCAAGUCGAACGGCAGCACAGUAAGAGCUUGCUCUUACGGGUGGCGAGUGGCGGACGGGUGAGGAAUACAUCGGAAUCUACUUUUUCGUGGGGGAUAACGUAGGGAAACUUACGCUACUACCGCAUACGCCCUCCGGGUGAAAGCCGGGGAUCUUCGGACCUUGCGCUAUUGAAUGAGCCGAUGUCGGAUUAGCUAGUUGGCGGGGUAAAGGCCCACCAAGGCGACGAUCCGUAGCUGGUCUGAGAGGAUGAUCAGCCACACUGGAACUGAGACACGGUCCAGACUCCUACGGGAGGCAGCAGUGGGGAAUAUUGGACAAAGGGCGCAAGCCUGAUCCAGCCAUACCGCGUGGGUGAAGAAGGCCUUCGGGUUGUAAAGCCCUUUUGUUGGGAAAGAAAAGCAGCAGGUUAAUACCCCGCUGUUCUGACGGUACCCAAAGAAUAAGCACCGGCUAACUUCGUG